AGCGGACAGAUGGGAGCUUGCUCCCUGAUGUUAGCGGCGGACGGGUGAGUAACACGUGGGUAACCUGCCUGUAAGACUGGGAUAACUCCGGGAAACCGGGGCUAAUACCGGAUGGUUGUUUGAACCGCAUGGUUCAAACAUAAAAGGUGGCUUCGGCUACCACUUACAGAUGGACCCGCGGCGCAUUAGCUAGUUGGUGAGGUAACGGCUCACCAAGGCAACGAUGCGUAGCCGACCUGAGAGGGUGAUCGGCCACACUGGGACUGAGACACGGCCCAGACUCCUACGGGAGGCAGCAGUAGGGAAUCUUCCGCAAUGGACGAAAGUCUGACGGAGCAACGCCGCGUGAGUGAUGAAGGUUUUCGGAUCGUAAAGCUCUGUUGUUAGGGAAGAACAAGUACCGUUCGAAUAGGGCGGUACCUUGACGGUACCUAACCAGAAAGCCACGGCUAACUACGUGCCAGCAGCCGCGGUAAUACGUAGGUGGCAAGCGUUGUCCGGAAUUAUUGGGCGUAAAGGGCUCGCAGGCGGUUUCUUAAGUCUGAUGUGAAAGCCCCCGGCUCAACCGGGGAGGGUCAUUGGAAACUGGGGAACUUGAGUGCAGAAGAGGAGAGU
rnacentral:rRNA from 1 species